GACGAACGCUGGCGGCGUGCUUAACACAUGCAAGUCGAACAGUGGCGAACGGGUGAGUAACACGUGAGUAACCUGCCCUCCACUUUGGGAUAACUCCGAGAAAUCGGGGCUAAUACUGGAUAGUGGGGGAUGGGCUCGGGGCCUAUCAGAUUGUUGGUGAGGUAGUGGUCACCAAGGCGUGACGGGUAGCCGGCCUGAGAGGGCGACCGGCCACAAAGGGGCUGAGAAAAGGGCCAGACUGCUACGGGAGGCAGCAGUGGGGAAUAGUGCACAAUGGGCGAAAGACUGAUGCAGAGACGCCGCGUGGGGGAUGACGGCCUUCGGGGUGUAAACCUCUUUCAGCAAGGAAGCGGUACUUGCAGAAGAAGCGCCGGCUAACUACGUGCCAGCAGCCGCGGUAAUAC
rnacentral:rRNA from 1 species